rnacentral:misc_RNA from 1 species
UCUCCGUAGGUGAACCUGCGGAGGGAUCAUUACAGAGUUCAUGCCCUACCGGGUAGAUCUCCCACCCUAUGUUAUUAUUACUUUGUUGCUUUGGCGGGCCGUUAGGCUCCGGCCCGACUACCGGCCCCGGCUGGUAAGCGCCCGCCAGAGGACCCAAAACCCUGAAUAUUAGUGUCGUCUGAGUACUAUUUAAUAGUUAAAACUUUCAACAACGGAUCUCUUGGCUCUC